GAUGAAGAACGUAGCGAAAUGCGAUAAGUAAUGCGAAUUGCAGAAUUUCCGUGAGUCAUCGAAUCUUUGAACGCACAUUGCGCCCGGCAGUAAUCUGCCGGGCAUGCCUGUCCGAGCGUCAUUUCACCCCUCGAGCCGCUUUUAGUGGAUCGGUGUUGGGGCACUACGGUAAAACGUAGGCCCUGAAAUGAAGUGGCGGUCCCGCCGCGGUGCCCCCAUGCGUAGUAACGUUUAGUCUCGCAUCGGGUCCCGGCGGAGGCCUGCCGUCAAGCCUAUUUAUUCUCAGAAUAGUUUGACCUCGGAUCAGGUAGGGUUACCCGCUGAACUUAAGCAUAUCAAUAAGCGGAGGA
rnacentral:misc_RNA from 1 species